CCUACGGGAGGCUGCAGUGGGGAAUAUUGGACAAUGGGCGCAAGCCUGAUCCAGCCAUACCGCGUGGGUAAAGAAGGCCUUCGGGUUGUAAAGCCCUUUUGUUGGGAAAGAAAAGCAAUCGAUUAAUACCCGGUUGUUCUGACGGUACCCAAAGAAUAAGCACCGGCUAACUUCGUGCCAGCAGCCGCGGUAAUACGAAGGGUGCAAGCGUUACUCGGAAUUACUGGGCGUAAAGCGUGCGUAGGUGGUUGUUUAAGUCUGUUGUGAAAGCCCUGGGCUCAACCUGGGAAUUGCAGUGGAUACUGGGCAACUAGAGUGUGGUAGAGGGCAGUGGAAUUCCCGGUGUAGCAGUGAAAUGCGUAGAGAUCGGGAGGAACAUCCAUGGCGAAGGCAGCUACCUGGACCAACACUGACACUGAGGCACGAAAGCGUGGGGAGCAAACAGGAUUAGAUACCCUGGUAGUC
rnacentral:rRNA from 1 species